ensembl:miRNA
UCAGCCUGUGGUACUCAAAUAAUGGGGGCACUUUUUGUUGUGGAACAAAGUGCCGCCAGAUUUUGAGCAUUACCGGCUGA